rnacentral:rRNA from 1 species
UCUGGUUGAUCCUGCCAGUAGUUAUAUGCUUGUCUCAAAGAUAAGCCAUGCAUGUCUAAGUACACACGAAUUAAAAUGAAACCGCAAAAGGCUCAUUAUAUCAGUUAUGGUUCCUUAGAUCGUUACAGUUACUUGGAUAACUGUGGUAAUUCUAGAGCUAAUACAUGCAAUUAAAACAUGAACCUUAUGGGACAUGUGCUUUUAUUAGGCUAAACCAAGCGAUCGCAAGAUCGUUAUAUUGGUUGAACUCUAGAUAACAUGCAGAUCGUAUGGUCUUGUACCGACGACAGAUCUUUAAAUGUCUGCCCUAUCAACUUUUGAUGGUAGUAUCUAGGACUACCAUGGUUGCAACGGUAACGGGGAAUCAGGGUUCGAUUCCGGAGAGGGAGCCUGAGAAAGGCUACCAAUCUAAGGAAGGCAGCAGGCGCGUAAAUUACCCAUCCCAGCUGGGGAGGUAGUGACGAAAAUAACAUACAGGACUCAUAUCCGAGGCCCUGUAAUUGGAAUGAGUACACUUUAAAUCCUUUAACAAGGACCAAUUGGAGGGCAAGUCUGGUGCCAGCAGCCGCGGUAUUCCAGCCUCCAAUAGCGUUAUUAAAGUUGUUGCGGUUAAAACGUUCGUAGUUGAACUUGUGCUUCAUACGGGUAGUACAACUUACAAUUGUGGUUAGUACUAUACCUUUAUGUAUGUAAGCGUACCGGUGGAGUUCUUAUAUGUGAUUAAAUACUUGUAUUUUUUUCAUAUGUUCCUCCUAUUUAAAAACCUGCAUUAGUGCUCUUAAACGAGUGUUAUUGUGGGCCGUACUAUUACUUUGAACAAAUUAGAGUGCUUAAAGCAGGCUUCAAAUGCCUGAAUUUCUGUGCAUGGGAUAAUGAAAUAGACCUCUGUUCUGCUUUCAUUGUUUUCAGAUCAAGAGGUAAUGAUUAAUAGAAGCAGUUUGGGGGAUUAGUAUUACGACGCGAGAGGUGAAAUUCUUGGACCGUCGUAAGACUAACUUAAGCGAAAGCAUUUGCCAAAGAUGUUUUCAUUAAUCAAGAACGAAAGUUAGAGGUUCGAAGGCGAUCAGAUACCGCCCUAGUUCUAACCAUAAACGAUGCCAGCUAGCAAUUGGGUGUAGCUACUUUUAUGGCUCUCUCAGUCGCUUCCCGGGAAACCAAAGCUUUUGGGCUCCGGGGAAGUAUGGUUGCAAAGCUGAAACUUAAAGGAAUUGACGAAGGCACCACCAGGAGUGGAGCCUGCGGCUUAAUUUGACUCAACACGGAAAACUUACCAGGUCCGAACAUAAGUGUGUAAGACGAUUGAUAGCUCUUUCUCGAAUCUAUGGGUGGUGGUGCAUGCCGUUCUUGUUCGUGGAGUGAUUUGUCUGGUUAAUUCCGAUAACGAACGAGACUCAAAUAUAUUAAAUAGAUAUCUCAGAUUAUGGUGCUGAAGCUUAUGUAGCCUUCAUUCAUGUUGGCAGUAAAAUGCUUAUUGUGUUUGAAUGUGUUUAUGUAAGUGGAGCCGUACUGUUGGUUUGUCCCAUUAUAAGGACACUAGCUUUUAAAUGGACAAAUUGCGUCUAGCAAUAAUGAGAUUGAGCAAUAACAGGUCUGUGAUGCCUUAGAUGUCCUGGGCUGCACGCGCGCUACAAUGAAAGUAUCAACGUGUAUUUCCUAGACCGAGAGGUCCGGGUAAACCGCUAACCACUUUAUGCUUGGGAUUGUGAACUGAAACUGUUCACAUGAACUUGGAAUUCCAGUAAGUGUGAGUCAUUAACUCGCAUUGAUUACGUCCCUGCCCUUUGUAACAACCGCCCGUCGCUACUACCGAUUGAAUUAUUUAGUGAGGUCUCCGGCGUGAUCACUGUGACGCCUUGCGUGUUACGGUUGUUUCGCAAAAGUUGACCGAACUUGAUUAUUUAGAGGAAGUAAAAGUUCGUAACAAGGUUUCCGUAGGUGAACCUGCGGAAG